rnacentral:lncRNA from 1 species
CAGCUCAGGCUCUGCCCCUCGGCGCGGCCCUGCCCUCUCAAAAUGCGCAAGCGCAGUCCGUAUCAGCCUGCCUCCGCCGCAGUCCUUGGCGCCAGAGUCGCCGCAGCAUCCUAGGCAGUAGAGUCAUCUCAGCUCGCUCCAGGUCCAUCCCUCAUCCUCUGCCUCUUCUGGCGCCAUGGCGAAGGCGUUGACGGAUAGCGAGAGGCAGAAGCAGAUCAGUGUGCGUGGCCUCGCGGGGCUGGGCGACGUGGCCGAGGUGCGGAAGAGCUUCAACAGGCACCUGCACUUCACGCUGGUCAAGGACCGCAAUGUGGCCACUCCCCGCGACUACUUCUUCGCUCUGGCAUACACGGUACGCGACCACCUCGUGGGCCGCUGGAUCCGCACGCAGCAGCACUACUACGAGCGGGACCCCAAGCUCCAAGUGAAGAACAGGGGACUGGAACCAGGCCCGGUAGUUUUAUGAGCUUGAAAGGGGUGAGAUCAGUCAUCUUCUGCAGGGAAUUGUGCCUCUCCCCCUCAACACACACACGGAUGAGAAGAAAAUACUUUGUAAUGCCUGCCUAAAACAGGAGAGAGCCGAAGGCUGUCUUUGAGGUUUCCACCUUGAUAAAACUUGUUUGGAGAUUGCUUUAGAAGUUGUUACUUUCUCUAUUUUGCAAACGUUUGUUCUCAGUAGGAAAACAAAGUAACUGAGAAAGUCUCUG